UACUUCCGAGGAUGAGCACUUUUAUCAAAUACAGUUAUCCCUGUCUGAAGAUCACUGUUGAGAAUUAUUCACACUCUGAGAAAAUG
rnacentral:snoRNA from 1 species